rnacentral:rRNA from 1 species
ACCGGCCCCGGGGGGGGCCCAAAAAGGGGGUAUUUAUUUUUUCACGGGGGAAAUCGUAAUUUUUUAAAUUUUUAAUAUUGAAAAACCCCCAAAAAAAAUAAAUUUUUUUUAAAAAAAUAAAAUUUUUCCCCAAAAAUUAUAUGGAAAAAAAGGUUUUAAAAAAAUUUUUAAACCCUAAAAAAAUUUU